CAAUGUUUCGCCUUUUAUUCUUUCCCCCACAAAGUUUGGGAACUGUUAUUACAGGAACUUGCAGGUUACAAUCUUGAGCUCUCCAAAACCUGCAUCCCAAAGCAAUGGGAAAACCUGCUUGCUUUUCAACUUACUGCAUUUCUUUCCUCUCUCCUUCAGUUCUAAACACCUCCCUGCUGUCGUAUUCUGGCUGCAGCACCCAAGUUUUCCACCUGCAAUUGAUUCUUGAUUUCUUGUCCUGGAGUGCUGAGCAUCAUCAGGGGAGAGCUCCCCGAUUGCUGAUGAUUACGAAACCAUAGCUGACCAAACACAGCUGAACACAGUGGAGGGUGUGAGCCUGGCCUCUGAGGAGCUGAAAUCAGGUGAGCACCUGCCAGGGGAAGAGGCCACAGAGCUGACUCCGGCCUUGGAGCCAAAGAUUGACUCGGUCCCUGAGAGAGAGGAGCCGGAGGGUACUGAGCCACCACGUGUAGCACCGGAGCAGAGCCCAGAGCUGCCAUCUGUGUGGCGAGAGGAAAGCACCAAGACUUCACCACCGGCACUGAGAGACAAUGGUGGGCCACCAGGACCAGCAGAGGACAGUGGGUUGGAGGAAGGCAGUGACAGCUUUGUGGUGGAAAUCAUCAAGAAAGUGCAUAUUGCUGAAGAGGACCAAUUCAUUGAGGGUGAGACGGGAGAACAGGUGGAAACUGAGCUGCUCAGUCAGAUAGUAAGUGGAGGGCCUGAAACAAAAGAAGAG
rnacentral:lncRNA from 1 species